rnacentral:rRNA from 1 species
AGAGUUUGAUCCUGGCUCAGGAUGAACGCUGGCGGCGUGCCUAACACAUGCAAGUUGAGCGAUUUACUUCGGUAAAGAGCGGCGGACGGGUGAGUAACGCGUGGGUAACCUACCCUGUACACACGGAUAACAUACCGAAAGGUAUGCUAAUACGGGAUAAUAUAUUUGAGAGGCAUCUCUUGAAUAUCAAAGGUGAGCCAGUACAGGAUGGACCCGCGUCUGAUUAGCUAGUUGGUAAGGUAACGGCUUACCAAGGCGACGAUCAGUAGCCGACCUGAGAGGGUGAUCGGCCACAUUGGAACUGAGACACGGUCCAAACUCCUACGGGAGGCAGCAGUGGGGAAUAUUGCACAAUGGGCGAAAGCCUGAUGCAGCAACGCCGCGUGAGUGAUGAAGGCCUUCGGGUCGUAAAACUCUGUCCUCAAGGAAGAUAAUGACGGUACUUGAGGAGGAAGCCCCGGCUAACUACGUGCCAGCAGCCGCGGUAAUACGUAGGGGGCUAGCGUUAUCCGGAUUUACUGGGCGUAAAGGGUGCGUAGGCGGUCUUUCAAGUCAGGAGUGAAAGGCUACGGCUCAACCGUAGUAAGCUCUUGAAACUGGGAGACUUGAGUGCAGGAAAGGAGAGUGGAAUUCCUAGUGUAGCGGUGAAAUGCGUAUAUAUUAAGAGGAACGCCAGUUGCGAAAGCGGCUCUCUGGACUGUAACUGACGCUGAGGCACGAGAGCGUGCGGAUCAAACAGGAUUAGAUACCCUGGUAGUCGACGCUGUAAACUAUGAGUACUAGGUGUCGGGGGUUACCCCCUUCGGUGCCGCAGCUAACGCAUUAAGUACUCCGCCUGGGAAGUACGCUCUCAAGAGUGAAACUCAAAGGAAUUGACGGGGACCCGCACAAGUAGCGGAGCAUGUGGUUUAAUUCGAAGCAACGCGAAGAACCUUACCUAAGCUUGACAUCCCAAUGACAUCUCCUUAAUCCGAGAGUUCCCUUCAGGGACAUUCGUGACAUGUGGUGCAUGGUUGUCCUCAGCUCGUGUCAUGACAUGUUGGGAUAAGUCCCACAACGAGCGCAACCCUUGUCUUUAGUUGCCAUCAUUAAGUUGGGCACUCUAGAGAGACUGCCACGGAUAACCUGGAUGAAGGUGGGGAUGACGUCAAAUCAUCAUGCCCCUUAUGCUUAGGGCUACUCACGAUGCUACAAUGGGUAGUACAGAGGGUUGCCAAGCCGUAGGGCGGAGCUAAUCCCUUAAAGCUACUCUCAGUUCGGAUUGUAGGCUGAAACUCGCCCACAUGAAGCUGGGAGUUACUAGUAAUCGCCAAUCACAAUGCUGCGUGUGAAUGCUUUUCCCGGGUCUUGUCCCCACCGCCCCGUAACACCACGGGGAAGUUGGAGACUCCCCGAAAGCCGAAUUAUUCUAAUCCUUUUU